rnacentral:rRNA from 1 species
GUAGGUGACCUGCGGAAGGNCAUUAUNGAAUAAACUUGAUGGAUUUGUUGCUGGCUCACUUCGGGGAGCAUUUGUGCACGUCUGUCAUUUUUAUCUUUCCACCAUGUGCACUAUGCGUAGACCUAAACAUUUGAUUAAAGCAAUGCUUUNAUUUUUGGAAAUUGCUGUUGCAAAUCACAGCUUUCUCUGUGUUUAGGCUUCUACGAAUUUUAUAUAUACUCCAAUGUAUGUUAAUGAACGUUAUCAAGGCUUCAAAGCCUAUAAAUCUAAAAUACAACUUUCAGCAACGGAUCUCUUGGCUCUCGCAUCGAUGAAGAACGCAGCGAAAUGCGAUAAGUAAUGUGAAUUGCAGAAUUCAGUGAAUCAUCGAAUCUUUGAACGCACCUUGCGCUCCUUGGUAUUCCGAGGAGCAUGCCUGUUUGAGUGUCAUUAAAUUCUCAAUCUCUACAAUUUUGUGAAGAUUGGAUGUGGGGGACCUUUGUGAGCUUUUCUUAAACUCACUCCCCUGAAAUAUAUUAGCUGGAAUGCCUUUGCAAGCCAACUAUCAGUUUGAUAAUAUCAGUACUGUGGUUGUUGCAUGAGGGGAUCUGCUUCUUAAUUGUCAUAUGACAAAAUGAAUAACUUUGACCUCAAAUCAGGUAGGACUACCC